rnacentral:rRNA from 1 species
AUGGGGGCUCCCCUCCCCAUCCAUGCCGCCACCAAGGCAUGUGCCGAGGUUGUAAUGGAAGCUGUUAUUAAGCUGCAUAAUAUCCAACACAAGGGGGUUGCAGACUUGGUGACAGAAGACAACCCCUUGCUGUCGCUCUCCUUCUCAUCCACGCCCCUUGCUGAUGCUGCCCUCCUUCUCAUUGGUGGCCUCAUCUUCCUCCUCCCCAUCGGCGGUUGCGACCAAGCCAUCACCAAAGGCCCCCCCAACAGAAAGUGGUUUGUUGUGUUCCGCCUCGUCCUGGCCUUCGUCCGUUUUGUGCUCAACAUGGUCUUCCUACGUAGGCUGAGUCCACGGACCUGCAGGUAUAGAAAACUCAAGACCAGAAAACUACAAAGGAAUACAAUUGAUUGUACAGUACCAGCCUAUGGGGUUGUAAAACAGACGAAGAGAAGCAUGCGGGGCGUUCGAAGCGUAGGUGUGAAAAGCUUUGUUACCGACGAGACUGUAAUGGUUCUUGAUACUAUGUUGGAUCAUCUUGGAAUUCCUAGAGCUAUUUACCGGAGAAGGAUGUACUCACAGAACACAUUGACUGUCAAUGUGCUUUUCUACUGGAGAAAGAUGCACGCAUUUGAGUAUUUCUGUUAG